CUGUUCAAGCCCAGCACAGUAAUUUGGAUCAUGACUUAGAGAACAUCUCCAGAGAAGAUAAGAUUUUGUCAUCUGAGGUGGAUUUACAGGAACAUAAACUGGAUGAGGAUCUUCUGUCUCCUGUCCCAUUACUUAGCUCAACACAAACUUUAUCCGCAAAAGUUCUUGUGGACGGCACUGAUAAAAGAAAUACAGAACCAAAUGACCAAGUUCUCAGUGAUUCUUCAUCAGCACCAUUUGAAGCACACAGUCUGGUUUCAUCUUUUUCUGAUCCUCUCAAUGAACAUGCAAGCAGCCUGUGUGAUAUGGACACGUAUGAACAUAGUUUGCUGCUUUAAUUGAUAAUAAUUAGGAAUUUAUAUAAUCUUAUUAAAUGACUUAUAGUAUGCCGUUUAAAUGUUGCUUUAGGAUGCAGUUUGGCAAGUGUGCAGCUGAAGACAUCCAAAUACCAGACGAGCAGGAUUCUGGAAAGGAAGAUUGCACAGAAGAGCCAUCAGAAGCUUCUGAGGUGAAGAGUCCUGACUAACAUUGCACCUUGUGUAUUCUCUGUUUGCUAAAUGAAAUAAACACCUUUGAACUAAUGUUUUCUGGCA
ensembl:lncRNA